UACAGAGGGGGCAAGCGUUGUUCGGAAUUACUGGGCGUAAAGGGCGCGUAGGCGGCCUGUUAAGUCGAACGUGAAAUCCCCGGGCUCAACCCGGGAACUGCGUCCGAUACUGGCAGGCUUGAAUCCGGGAGAGGGAUGCGGAAUUCCAGGUGUAGCGGUGAAAUGCGUAGAUAUCGUCAGGAAUGCCAAUGGUGAAGACAGGUGACUGGGCUGGUUCUGACACUGAGGCACGAAAGCGUGGGGAGCGAACGGG
rnacentral:rRNA from 1 species